UUAACUUUACACUGCACCCUGCAUUCCAGUUGAGAGGGAUGUUGCGCAGAGCAAAUAGAUCUCCUGUUACUGAUGAUGCCGAGACAUGGGAGGUGUAAAAGCAGCCACGGGAUGUGAUGAUUGCACUGGGGAAGACGUGCUGGUGAAAAAUGCUCAGAACUUGAUUCAUGGGGUUUUACAGACCUGGAAAGCAGCAGAAGCUGCAUCUAUCAAGGGCACUGGGAAACCUGCUGAUGAAGAGGAAGCCGAAGUUGCUGAUUUUUGUAACCAGCUAAGGAAAAAACUAAUGUUCCAAAAAAACAAAUAAAACUUUUGCUUCAUGCAGAAUUUUCACAUUUCA